rnacentral:rRNA from 1 species
UACGUAGGUGGCAAGCGUUGUCCGGAAUUACUGGGUGUAAAGCGCGUGUAGGCGGGAGGCCAAGUCUGCUGUGAAAUCGCCCGGCUCAACUGGGCGGGGUCGGUGGAAACUGGUCACCUGGAGGACGGUAGAGGCGAGUGGAAUUCCCGGUGUAGUGGUGAAAUGCGUAGAGAUCGGGAGGAACACCAGUGGCGAAGGCGGCUAUCUGGACGGUUUCUGACGCUAAGACGCGAAAGCGUGGGGAGCAAACAGG